rnacentral:misc_RNA from 1 species
UUAGAUAACACUAUCCCGAAACAGGAAACUGAAAGUAGGAUUCUAAGAAAUGCCGAACUUCCUUGAACAGGCUAUUUGUUAUCUGUCUAUGCCAGCAAUGACGUCAUACAUGGGGGCAAGGCUUGAUUACUCCUUGGACGGAUAAGUAAUGUCACUUUGGCAUCUGACUAUGACACCGGGAGCAGCCUCGUACAUACUGAGGUUCCCGGAAAGUUAUCUAUAGCAUUUCAACUUAUCCGAGCAUCCGGCUGUGGCCAUAUACGACUAACUUGGCAGUGUGAUUUCUCCACCAGCUUAAUCCAGCUAUGAGUUCCACAAAUUACACCCAGCCUGUGCCAAGUGAUGGUGUGAAGAUUAACUUCUAUGGUGGCAUUCCCUGCUUGUUGAUCCCAGAGAGAGAACUCCCAUUAUCCGUGGAAGAAAUAUGUGAGAAAGCUGCCAACCAUGUUGUCUCCCAACUGCCAUCUUUCUCCGACGAUGAAGACACUGCCAGUGGAGACAGUAGCCACAGAAUGGCUUCAUUAACACUCCCGAUGUUCUCCCUCAUCAACCAUGAACACAAUCAGUGGAUGACGAUGAGGGAAAAACUCACUCGGCACGAUAUUCUCUAUGAAUUCUUCUUCAGAAUACGGUUUCGAUUUUAUAAUGCAAAUUUAAGCGAUCUGGAAAAAUUAGACAGACAAACAUGGGAGUACUUGUUCUGGCAGUUCCAUGAUGACUUUGUUAGCGAUAGGUUUUCCACUAUGUACAAUAAGAACCUUGAACGGCCUAAAGUUUUGGGUUUCGUUGUGAUGGGGUAUUUCAUCCCGAAACUCUGUACCAUGGUACAGAACAGCCCAGCUCGAGGUGGCAAGUAUCAUCCCCUUCAGUCAAACAACGGUCAUCCCAGAGUUACAGUCUGUGGUCUGAAGAAACAUUUGCCAGAAAGAGAACGUCUCAAUUUCAAAUGGCCGUGGCCCUAUUAUCGGUUAUAUCGGAGUGUUAAGGAGGAAGUGGGGAAGUUUGCCUCGGCCCAUGGCAAUAUUGGUGUGGAGAGAUACAUGCACACGUACAUGAAUGGUGUUCUGGAGGAAGUGGCGAAAUAUGGGUCAGAGUGUUACCAUGCAAUAGAACUUCUACAAACAAACCCGGAGAGGACACAGCCUGUGGACAUUGUCGUGGAUCCGUUCUGUUCCAAGCCUCCGGGAAUCUACUUCCACAUGCAGUUUGUGUGCACAUUUCAAGAUAUUGAGAACCUGGUCCUAGCCACCUCUUCAGAUCCAGCGUUUGGGGUGGAGGUUCGACUGAUACGGAGGAAUGGUGCCCUAAAGAUGCUAAGGUUCAGAGAGAGCAAGAUGGCAGAAUCGUUUGUGUCUUGUGUGGAUGGAUACUGUCGUCUCCUGCACAACUUCUAUGACAGCAUAGCUACACAGGUGCUUGUGGAGCCCCCCUCACUCACUCAGCUGAAGGAACUGAAGGCCUUUGGGCCGAUGCUGAGAAAAGAUGCGGAGAGUAAGAUGCAGAAAGAGUUAUCUGCCUUUGAAGAUGACCUCAACCAGCGAGAGGUGUGUUUCCUCAUCUACCAGAGUGUCCACAGCCUCACAGAGUUUUGGGUGAUGAAGCAGUCUCGCAAGGAGGAAUCAGCAUCACACCUACGAUUGUCUUACAACCGGCGAAACCAGAAAUUCACACUGUACAGGGAUAUUGGAGAUCUGAUUUUUCACACACCCGGGGACCUUCUGAUGCAUUUCAGAAAGCAAGCAAACAUGAUCCGCCCCAAAACUGAAUGCAGCAUCUCGGAGCUGUACCGCAGUGAUGAAAUUGACUACUAUUGCUCCACCAACACUCCUGCUACAGGGUCCACCGUGAGGAAGGGUCCGACACUGUUUGGAGUUGACAUAUGUAAAGAGGACUUCAGCAUCGUAGGGCGGGGCAGGUUCACCCAGGUGUUGGAAGGCAUGCUGUAUGAUGAUGAUAAGGAUGAGAAGGUCACCAUUAAAGAACUUAAACUUGGUGAAGGACACAAAAGUGAGGAUUUCCAGAAGGGUGUGUGGAAACUCAUGCAGUUGGAGCACCACAAGACGUUUGUGAAGCUACAUGGCGUGUUGAUGGCGCCGCCGUUCCGAGUCAUCCUGGAGCAUGCCCCUUUGGGGGACCUGCUGACCCUGAUGGGGCAGUCCCCCAUGCAGUUCAGUCUGACCCAGAUCAUAUCUGUUGUAGAGCAGCUGACACAGGGACUGAAGGCCAUGGAAGAGAAACAAAUCUUUCACGGAAACCUGCGGUGUCGGAACAUUUUAGUGAUGAACGUGACAGCCCUUGAUCUGCUUGUGAGGAUCAGUGACCCAGGAAUGGAAGCCCACUAUGUCAGCAAUGCUAUCAGCGAUGAACAGAACAUCGAGAGACUUCCUUGGGUUGCAGUUGAGAGAUUUGACAAUCUCCGGAAAUUGGAUUCAGCUUCUGAGAUUUACUCCUUUGCAAUGACAUGGUGGGAGAUGCUGUCAAAGGGAACCCAUCCAAAUAAGGCCAUUAACCUCCCAGCUGAUGCAUCAUGGAAAAACUUUUUCAAAGAGGGCGGCCGCCCCCCUCGGCCUGAGAUUGUGACUGUGACCGAGGAUGAUCCGGCACCGGACUGCAAGGAUGGGAUCUGGAAGUACAUAGAGCUGUGCUGGGACUCAGAUCCCGAAAACAGGCCCUCUGUUAAAGACAUCUCCCGGAAGGUUUACGAAUUGUGUGACCAAGUCAGGGAGCAGGAGCAGGACCUGGACAUCCCUUCCUGGGAGCAGGUGGUGAAGCAGUGGAAGGAGCAGGUCCAUCAGAACCAGAGUCCAGAGGAGAGUGUUCCCGUCACAGAUACUGGUGACACCGUCAUCCACUCGGAGCGCCUGGAGGUUGAUGAGACUGAUAAAGGGAAGCUGGGCGCUGGCUACUACGGGACCGUCAGGAAGGCCAAGCUGUAUGAAACAACAUGCAACAAGAGCCAGAAGCCAGUUAACUUUAAAUUUGUGGCUGUCAAGGAACUGAAGAAGUUUUCUUCAGCAAGUGAAAAAAUAGACUUUGUGCAAGAAAUUCAUCUUGCAUCUAAGCUGUCCCACAAAAAUAUUGUGAAGAUUGAAGGAGUCUGUAGCUCACCCAAGCAGCUGUUGGUGAUGGAGUUUGUGGAACGAGGAGCCCUCAACACCUAUCUCCACUCUUUGAGGAACAGUUCCCCAAACCCCAUAACCCUAUGCAACUUUACUGUAGAUGUUGCUGAGGGCAUGAAAUAUCUCCACUCAAAGAAGAUUGUUCACCGAGACCUUGCUGCUCGCAACAUCCUCCUGACUCAAGAGAAAACUGCUAAAAUUACUGACUUUGGUUUGUCCCGGCUUCUUAAAGACAAGAAUUACUACAAGGGAUCCAUGGAAAAACCACUGCCUGUACAUUGGUGUUCUCCUGAGGCUAUAGGGCAACGCCGGUUCAGCACAAAGGGGGAUGUGUGGAGUUAUGGCAUCCUGCUAUGGGAGAUCUUCAGUCUGGGCAAGAAGCCACACCUGGUCGAAAGUGAUGAAAAGAUUAUUAUGCAAGAACUGUUUUUAAGCAUGAAAAGAAAUAAAAGAUUAGAAGAGCCAUCUCAUUGUGUUGAGGGGUUCUAUCAGUUGAUGAAGGACAAGUGCUGGCAGUUUGAUCCCCAGGCAAGACCAGACUUUGAUGAAAUUGUGACAAUGGUUUAUCAACUGCGAAGAAAUUGUGACAACAAUGGCAGGAGGCUGUCAUAAGAGACAUGUAUACCAUAGACAGAUGUCUCAUGUAUCUCGUCUGACCACCCAAUCCCAUAAGUCACCUCCUUUGACAAACAUGGGUUUCUGAAGACCAAUUCUAACCCUGAUCUACAUCCUACGUGGACUUGUGGUAGAGCAUCCGCCUGGAGAGCAGAAGGUCAAAGGUUCGAUCCACGGCUGUGUCAUCCCAUAUACAUGUAGUCAAUAGUUGGUACUUGUUGUUAACCUGCACUCAGCAUUAAGGGGUUAAAACAAGAACUGGUCGGCUCGGAGUUAGUAUACUGCCGCAUGGUAUCGCAAUAAAAACUGCAUACGUCCGGACUAGACACACGCACGCACGCACGCACGCACGCACGCACGCACACGCAUACACGCGUACGUUACUAUAUGCGUUAAACCCCCAUUCAUGAUGGUCACAUGAUGGUGUUCUGUCUCACAAGUCACCUGUCACAGGUUGGGUGUUGUCUGUGAUGUGAGAUGGCACCACAGUCAACAAUCCAGGCAUAUCGCUCUCCUAUGAGGCUUCUAUUGUCUUUGGAGGAAUGUACAGUCCAUGGUUAUCAGUGAUGACAAAAUAUGUAAUGUCAUCAGUUUAGGAUUUUAGAUAUCUAAGCCUUGAGUUUUGAGAAACGGCAAUGUACUGUUGUUCUGUCAUCAAGCUAACUCUUGUCCGAUUCACAGGAACUCAUGAUAUCGUGUUUAGAAUAAUAUAUUCGCAUAGAAAAUAAUCACACCCCUCUAAAUAUAUGUAUAUGGAGGGUGUGAUUUUUUUCUAUACAAAUAUAUUAUGCUGUACACGCUAUCAUUGAGUUCCUGUGGUACGAAUGUCAGAUCACUGACAACGUCUAAGUAUUGAGAAACAAUGCUUUGUACUGUCGUCAAGCUAAACCUGUCAGAUUGUUCACAAUGCUAAUUGUGUUAUUUGUAAUCCAAUUUCUUGGUUUAUGUUUUCAUUUCCAAGAGCCAUGGUCACAUCUGGUGAACUGAAACAUGUAAAUAUACUUGCUUCCAUGUACAAUAUGUAUUGUAUAGUUAUUGAUGUUUGAGAUUUAUGGUACAGUUGUUUGUUGUUAGAGAUGUUAAAUCAACACUCGUCCAACCAAAUAUUAUGAAUUGUAUUUGGCUGUGACAUGUUUAAUGUGAUAUGAACUGUUUGAACAUGUCUGUUUUACGUUUCUCACAUAUUUGGUAUAUCUGUACUCAAGAGCCCUGUAUAUGCUUGAUGCAUCUACUUGCUGUAAAACUCUACAUAUCAGUGCUAAUCACACAUCACGUCUCCACCAGCCCUUGUUACAUAGCAUUACUAUCGGGUCUUCCAUGGUAUACAAUGGUACCAUCAGGUCUUCCUUGGUAUUAGGGGAGACCGUCAAGUCUUACAUGGAAUUUGGGGAGACAUCAGGUCUUCCUUGGUAUUAGCGGAGACCGUCAAGUCUUACAUGGAAUUUGGGGAGACCAUUAGAUCUUCAUGGUAUUUUGGAAGACCAUUAGAUCUUCCAUGGUAUUAGGGGAGACCAUUAGAUCUUCCAUGGUAUUAGGGGAGACCAUCAGGUCUUCCUUGGUAUUAGGGUUAGUUGUUUACCGCCGCACUCAGCAGUAUUCCAGCUAUAUGACGGCAGUCUGUAAGUAAUCAAGUCUGGACCAAACAAUCCAGUGAUUGAUAUCAUGAGCAUAGAUCUACGCAUUAGGACACAAUGACAUGCAUUAACCAAGUCAGCGAGUCUGACCACCCGAUCCCGUUAGUCGUCAUUUACGGCUAGCAUUCGUUGCUGAAGCCUCAACCCCAGAUCUCCACAGGUCCUAACUAAAUUGAAUCAUGACUGUAAGAUCUAUAUGAUAUAUAUAUUCGGCUAAGAUUAUAAUCAACAUAGGCGUCACACAUACAUAAUAUUAUAUGUACUGUUUUUUCAGUGGUCAUCCUUGGCUGUCCAUUUUAAUGCCGGGGACCCCAAAAUGAAUUACUGAGAGUCCCCAGGACUAGACAAAUACAACCAAGGCUCGCAUUUCGGUAAACCGACACUAACCCCUGGCACAUCCCCCAUGGUUCUCGCUAUCUUAAAUUACCUGCCCUUGAUUUUCAUUACCAUUUUACCAACCUAACAUCGAGAUAAGGAAAAAGAAAAUGGUGACGUGGGGGGGGGGGGGGUAACUCAUAUUGCCCAGAAAUCACAGCCACUGCCAGUUGUGACGGACACAAAGAUUCCUUUGUGUGUCAGUCAGUUUUGCAACUUAAAAUUUCUAGCAAACACUAUCGCAAUCAGUGGGACGGGCCGCCAUGUUUUUGAUGUCACCCAUCCAACAUUGAGGCUGGUUUGUAACCCGCAUUCUGAUUGGUCCGUUAGACCUAGUAGUGUAGCCAAUCAAAUUAGCUAAAGGAAGUUGAGGGCAGGUAAUUUGAGAUUGCAAGAACCACAGGGAAGUCCAGGGCCCCGUUCCACAAAGCGAUCUUAGCCCUAAGGUGAUUGUAAGUGCCAUUCUUUAACAUAGGUUUACGAUCAUCGUAGCGCUAAAAUCGAUUUGAGGAACAGGGCCCAGGGGAUAGUAAGUUUCCUGAAAUGCUAGCUCUGGAGAUAUAGAAGAUGGACAAUAUACAGUUAUCAGGAAUGAAAUGAUGAGAAAUAAAGAGGUAUGUUUGUCACUUUUGUCCAUAUGAACAUGAAAUACUUAACAUGGGCUGACUUUAUUGGUUAUGUUGAACUUGGGGAAGUUUGUGGAAUGUACCUUGCUUUACUCUUGUUAAGGAAUCAAAGAAGUAUGAUUGCCUUGCUGAUGUAUGUUUGAGCUAAUAAAUGUAUUACUCUGGAGAAACUA